UCCCCACACAAACCAGGUCUGUCCGUUUCCAGGACUCCUCAGCAGCGACCCAAGGUGGUAGCGUUACGGCCGCGAAAACGCUCAGCUACCCGGCAGGCUCUUGUCUUCUUUGGCUUCUACGUCCUGACCGCGGCGUCAUGACGUCAUGAGAGGCUUCUCCCCGCCUCCUCCCUGGACAGCCAAUGGGAACUGCCCGUUUGUUUUGAGCCCGCCCUUCCGCACGCAAUCACGCGGGAGGCGUGGUAAUACAAGCCAGAAGUCGGAGGCGGGGACGGUGGCCCCGAAGGGUCAAACGCACUCAAAUCAUCCGGCUUUCCGCCCUUUCAAAAACGCUUAUCUUUGGGCCAGGGAUUUAGCUCAGUGGUUCCGUCGCCUGCCUCGCUAAGCGCAAGGACUUGAGUUCGAUCCCUGGUACCAAAAAAAAAAAAAAGCAAAAACUCUUGUCCUGAUCCAGUGUUUGGCAGCCAUUAUUAUUCCUAAAAUGUGAACUGGAGUGGUGAGAACUGUGGGACUACCCACAGCAUCGUGACAUGAUCUCACUGCAGUUCAGGCUGGGCUUGAACUCACAAUGAUCAUCCUGCCUCACCCUCCUGAGUGCUGGGAUUAUAGGCAUGCGCCACCACGCCCAGCUAAUCUCCCUCUAAAGUCUCAAACUCAGUCCAGAGCUGCUUUCUCAGAGAGCCCUGCUGUGUGUGCCGUGACUCCUUGAACUUCUCUUACUGAACUGUGAUUGCAUGGAUUAGCAAACGCCCUUAGAUGCCUCUGCUUCUCUUUCUGGAAAUUGAUUGCCAAGAGCAGUCAAGCUUUGAUUUUUCUCAAUACAGAAGUCUCUGGGAGAUGGAGAGUGAGUUGAUUCAGCAGCGCCGCCGUAAAGCAGCAGCGCUUACAGGAGCUCCUGCAGUUGGUCUUCCAUCCCGUGUAUCAACAUGCACACUCAGCUGUUUCCAGCUUAUCCCUCGCUCUGGUGUGGGCCGUGUGUCUGCCUUCUGGGAUUGGAACUGCCGCUGAGCCUGAACAGGAGCAGCACUGCCACACAGGCCCCAGAGGGGAGGCCACCCCACCUCUCCUCAGGAGCAGAAUCCAGGGAGGGGAAAAAUAAGCACCCAGUCGCUCAUAAAAUAAAGACUUCCCUUUUAUUUUA